UACGAAGGGGGCUAGCGUUGCUCGGAAUCACUGGGCGUAAAGGGUGCGUAGGCGGGUCUUUAAGUCAGGGGUGAAAUCCUGGAGCUCAACUCCAGAACUGCCUUUGAUACUGAAGGUCUUGAGUUCGGGAGAGGUGAGUGGAACUGCGAGUGUAGAGGUGAAAUUCGUAGAUAUUCGCAAGAACACCAGUGGCGAAGGCGGCUCACUGGCCCGAUACUGACGCUGAGGCACGAAAGCGUGGGGGAGCAAACAGG
rnacentral:rRNA from 1 species